rnacentral:rRNA from 1 species
GACAGAGGAUGCAAGUGUUAUCCGGCAUCACUGGCGUAAAGCGUCUGUAGGUGGUUUAAUAAGUCAACUGUUAAAUCUUGAGGCUCAACCUCAAAAUCGCAGUCGAAACUAUUAGGCUAGAGUAUAGUAGGGGUAAAGGGAAUUUCCAGUGGAGCGGUGAAAUGCGUAGAGAUCGGAAAGAACACCAACGGCGAAAGCACUCUGCUGGGCCGACACUGACACUGAGAGACGAAAGCUAGGGGAGCGAAUGGG